rnacentral:tRNA from 1 species
UCCCUGGUGGCUCAGAGGUUAAAGCGUCUGCCUGCAAUGCAGGAGACCUGAGUUCGAUCCCUGGGUCGGGAA